AUUGAACGCUGGCGGCAGGCCUAACACAUGCAAGUCGAGCGGAAACGAAGAGUAGCUUGCUACUCUGGCGUCGAGCGGCGGACGGGUGAGUAAUGCUUGGGAACAUGCCUUGAGGUGGGGACAACAGUUGGAAACGACUGCUAAUACCGCAUAAUGUCUACGGACCAAAGGGGGCUUCGGCUCUCGCCUUUAGAUUGGCCCAAGUGGGAUUAGCUAGUUGGUGAGGUAAUGGCUCACCAAGGCGACGAUCCCUAGCUGGUUUGAGAGGAUGAUCAGCCACACUGGGACUGAGACACGGCCCAGACUCCUACGGGAGGCAGCAGUGGGGAAUAUUGCACAAUGGGCGCAAGCCUGAUGCAGCCAUGCCGCGUGUGUGAAGAAGGCCUUCGGGUUGUAAAGCACUUUCAGUCAGGAGAAAGGGAUGUAGUUAUACCUGCAUCCUGUGACGUUACUG
rnacentral:rRNA from 1 species